AUUGAACGCUGGCGGCAUGCUUUACACAUGCAAGUCGAACGGUAACAGGCCGCAAGGUGCUGACGAGUGGCGAACGGGUGAGUAAUGCAUCGGAACGUGCCCAGUCGUGGGGGAUAACUACUCGAAAGAGUAGCUAAUACCGCAUACGAUCUAUGGAUGAAAGCGGGGGACCGUAAGGCCUCGCGCGAUUGGAGCGGCCGAUGUCAGAUUAGGUAGUUGGUGGGGGAAAGGCUCACCAAGCCAACGAUCUGUAGCUGGUCUGAGAGGACAACCAGCCACACUGGGACUGAGACACGGCCCAGACUCCUACGGGAGGCAGCAGUGGGGAAUUUUGGACAAUGGGCGCAAGCCUGAUCCAGCAAUGCCGCGUGCAGGAAGAAGGCCUUCGGGUUGUAAACUGCUUUUGUACGGAACGAAACGGCUCUGGUUAAUACCCGGGGCUAAUGACGGUACCGUAAGAAUAAGCACCGGCUAACUACGUG
rnacentral:rRNA from 1 species